UACGAAGGGGGCUAGCGUUGUUCGGAAUUACUGGGCGUAAAGCGCGCGCAGGCGGUUUUUCAAGUCAGUGGUGAAAGCCCGGAGCUCAACUCCGGAACUGCCAUUGAAACUGUGAAACUUGAGGAUGAGAGAGGUGAGUGGAAUUCCCAGUGUAGAGGUGGAAUUCGUAGAUAUUAGGAAGAACACCAGUGGCGAAGGCGGCUCACUGGUCCGGAACUGACGCUGAGGUGCGAAAGCGUGGGGAGCAAACAGG
rnacentral:rRNA from 1 species